GGGGGGGGGGGAGAUUGCUUUAGCUAGCGGCCGGCCGGGAAGGGAGCAUGCAUGGCAGGGUGGGGCCCACGACCACGGCAGCAGCAGUGGUCCCUCCCAUGGCAGGUCAGGCUCAGGCUCUGACGAAGACGACCUCUACUGUAGCAAGGUGAAGAGUAACAGUGUGCAGUGCAGUGUAAGCUCGGGUAAUCAAGCAAGCACGUACGUACAAGCAACCGGAUAUUGUUCAUCUAGACUUUGUUUUCGCUGGCUAGAGCGAGCUUGCUGCGUCUGAACGAACGAACGACGAAGGGUGGCCGAUGAUCCAUGUACGCUAGCUGUGUAAAUACGCAUACUAGUGCUGUAGAAAUCUUGGAUUCCUUGCAUGCAA
rnacentral:lncRNA from 1 species